rnacentral:rRNA from 1 species
GUCUUUUUGAAAUAAUUUAAAGUCCAAUCUGCUCACUGAGUAAUUAAAGAGCCGCAGUAUAAUGACUGUGCAAAGGUAGCAUAAUCAAUAGUUUUUUAAUUGAAAGCUUGAAUGAAAGAUUAGACGAGAAAAAUAUUUUCUUUAUUUUUAUAAAUUUAAUUUUAACUUUAAGUGAAAAUGCUUAAUUAGAAUUAAAAGACGAGAAGACCCUAUAGAUUUUUAUUGUUGAUAUAAAUUUUAUAAUUUAAUUUAAUUAAACAAUUCAAUUGGGGCGAUUUUGUAAUAUAAAAAACUUAAUUUUUUAAGACCAUAAAUAAUUGAAUUUUUUGAUCUAAAAUUUUUAAUGGAAAGAUUAAGUUACCUUAGGGAUAACAGCGUAAUUUUAUUUAAGAGUUCAUAUCUAUAAUAAAGUUUGCGACCUCGAUGUUGAAUUAAGAUAAUAUAUUGGAGUAGAAAUUAAUAUAGAUAGUCUGUUCGACUAUUAAAUUCU